rnacentral:rRNA from 1 species
GGGAUUGCCCUAGUAACGGCGAGUGAAGCGGCAACAGCUCAAAUUUGAAAUCUGGCUCUUUCAGAGUCCGAGUUGUAAUUGCAGAGGGCGCUUUGGCGUUGGCAGCGGUCCAAGUUCUUGGAACAGGACGUCACAGAGGGUGAGAAUCCCGUACGUGGUCGCUGGCCUUCGCCGUGUAAAGCCCCUUCGACGAGUCGAGUUGUUUGGGAAUGCAGCUCUAAAUGGGAGGUAAAUUUCUUCUAAAGCUAAAUACUGGCCAGAGACCGAUAGCGCACAAGUAGAGUGAUCGAAAGAUGAAAAGCACUUUGGAAAGAGAGUCAAAUAGCACGUGAAAUUGUUGAAAGGGAAGCGCUUGCAGCCAGACUUGCCUGUAGUUGCUUAUCUGGACUUUUGUCCGGUGCACUCUUCUGCGGGCAGGCCAGCAUCAGUUUGGGCGGUUGGAUAAAGGUCUCUGUCAUGUACCUCCUUUCGGGGAGGCCUUAUAGGGGAGACGACAUGCAACCAGCCUGAACUGAGGUCCGCGCAUCUGCUAGGAUGCUGGCGUAAUGGCUGUAAGCGGCCCGUCUUGAAACACGGACCAAGGAGUCUAACAUCUAUGCAAGUGUUUGGGUGUCAAGCCCAGACGCGUAAUGAAAGUGAACGGAGGUGGGAACCUUUUAGGUGCACCAUCGACCGAUCCUGAUGUCUUCGGAAGGAUUUGAGUAAGAGCAUGGCUGUUGGGACCCGAAAGAUGGUGAACUAUGCUUGAAUAGGGUGAAGCCAGAGGAAACUCUGGUGGAGGCUCGCAGCGGUUCUGACGUGCAAAUCGAUCGUCAAAUUUGGGCAUAGGGGCGAAAGACUAAUCGAACUAUCUAGUA